rnacentral:rRNA from 1 species
ACGCGCGCUGGCGGCAUGCCUAACACAUGCAAGUCGAACGAGACCUUCGGGUCUAGUGGCGCACGGGUGCGUAACGCGUGGGAACCUGCCCUUAGGUUCGGAAUAACUCCCCGAAAGGGGUGCUAAUACCGGAUAAUGUCUUCGGACCAAAGAUUUAUCGCCUUUGGAUGGGCCCGCGUUGGAUUAGCUAGUUGGUAGGGUAAAGGCCUACCAAGGCGACGAUCCAUAGCUGGUCUGAGAGGAUGAUCAGCCACACUGGGACUGAGACACGGCCCAGACUCCUACGGGAGGCAGCAGUGGGGAAUAUUGGACAAUGGGCGAAAGCCUGAUCCAGCAAUGCCGCGUGAGUGAUGAAGGCCUUAGGGUUGUAAAGCUCUUUUACCCGGGAUGAUAAUGACAGUACCGGGAGAAUAAGCUCCGGCUAACUCCGUG